rnacentral:piRNA from 3 species
CUGCAGUGAUGACUUUCUUAGGACACCUUUG